CUUAUGAUUUUAUUUUUUAGUUUGCUCUUCAAUUCCCGAAACUCCUUCAGGGAUACACUUGAUCGCAGCUGCCUAUACUUGUUCCAUGCCUCCUUCUUAUUCUUGACCAGAGCCUCAAUUU